GUCGAACUCCUACGGGAGGCAGCAGUGGGGAAUAUUGCACAAUGGGGGAACCCUGAUGCAGCGACGCCGCGUGGAGGAAGAAGGUCUUCGGAUUGUAAACUCCUGUUGUUGAGGAAGAUAAUGACGGUACUCAACAAGGAAGUGACGGCUAACUACGUGC
rnacentral:rRNA from 1 species